AUAAUAAUAGGAACCCAGGCAGUAGCAUCGUUUCACAAUGUUUCCAUCAUCAUCAUCAGUGGAUGCCUUUGCCGUCCGUAGCCUGAGAUUUCAGAUUUGCAGCAAAAAAAAUGAUUUUCUCAUUUAUUGGAAUGCUGUGCAGGUAUUUGUACCUUGCAGCCAUCCAUUACAAUGUCACCAAGCCGUAACAAAAGCAGGAGAGGGAAAGUACAAGGCUAUGUUCCCAAAACACACAAGUGACAUACCUUAUGUGGAUGAUGUGAUCAGGCUUGUGUUUGCUGAGGUAUUUGAAGAUAAGCUGAAGGAAACCCCGAUUCCAAUGGACCUGGCAUCACAGUUUGAGAGACCUUCAAAGGAGGACGUGAUUGGAUGCCAUCUUCAGUGC